UACGUAGGGUGCAAGCGUUAAUCGGAAUUACUGGGCGUAAAGCGUGCGCAGGCGGUUAUGUAAGACAGAUGUGAAAUGCCCGGGCUUAACCUGGGAACUGCAUUUGUGACUGCAUGGCUAGAGUUUGGCAGAGGGGGGGUAGAAUUCCACGUGUAGCAGUGAAAUGCGUAGAUAUGUGGAGGAACACCGAUGGCGAAGGCAGCCCCCCUGGGUCAAGACUGACGCUCAUGCACGAAAGCGUGGGGAGCAAACGAGGAUUAGAGUACCCUGGA
rnacentral:rRNA from 1 species